rnacentral:lncRNA from 1 species
CAUAUAUUUUUGUAUCUAUGUUUAUGUAUGUAUAUAUGCAUAUAGUAUUUGUGUAAUGGGGGUGUAUAGUGCACGACAUAUAACCAAAGUUCAGAAUAUGACCAUAUAUUCGUAUAUACUCAUUUCUCAUUUUUGAACCCCUCUAUCUUCAACAAACUCCAUAAAGAGGAAGAAGGACAAAAAAUUGAACGCUUGGUGAAUGGGAACAGAUUUGAGUUCUCAGAAUCUAAGAUGGAUUUGGAAAGGAACACUGCAAAGUAAAUGGGGGUUUAUUUCUUGGUAGGUGCUCAACCAUUUCUUUUUGGGGUGAACUCGUUAUAUGGAGAGAGAAAAAAAUUUUUUUUUAAAUGGUGGAGGUGGAGGGGAGCAAUUAUCCAGUUAUUAAUAUUAACAUCCAGAAAUGAUAAAUAGUUGAAAACAGCAUAUAAAAAAGAGAGGGCAGAAGGAAAGGGGUGGAGCAUGAGGUGGGGAAAUAGAUAGAGAUAUAAAUUGUAGUAGAGGUGGGCAUGGGAAGUAAGUAUAAUAUUUAAAACAACUGUACAAAAUAAUGUGUAUUCAUGUGUGUGUGUGUGUGGAUGGG